rnacentral:rRNA from 1 species
UACGUAGGGUGCAAGCGUUGUUCGGAAUCAUUGGGCGUAAAGCGCGUGUAGGUGGCUUGUUAAGUCGAAUGUGAAAUCCCUGGGCUCAACCGAGGAAGUGCAUUUGAAACUGGCAAGCUAGAGGACGGCAGAGGAAGGUGGAAUUCCAAGUGUAGAGGUGAAAUUCGUAGAUAUUUGGAGGAAUACCGGUGGCGAAGGCGGUCUUCUGGACCGGUCCUGACACUGAGACGCGAAAGCGUGGGGAGCAAACAGG